rnacentral:rRNA from 1 species
UACGGAGGGUGCGAGCGUUAAUCGGAAUUACUGGGCGUAAAGCGCACGCAGGCGGUUUGUUAAGCUAGAUGUGAAAGCCCCGGGCUCAACCUGGGAUGGUCAUUUAGAACUGGCAGACUAGAGUCUAGGAGAGGGGAGUGGAAUUCCAGGUGUAGCGGUGAAAUGCGUAGAUAUCUGGAGGAACAUCAGUGGCGAAGGCGACUCCCUGGCCAAAGACUGACGCUCAUGUGCGAAAGUGUGGGUAGCGAACAGG